rnacentral:rRNA from 1 species
UGGGGAAUAUUGCACAAUGGGGGAAACCCUGAUGCAGCGACGCCGCGUGAACGAAGAAGGUAUUCGUAUCGGAAAGUUCUGUCCUAAGGGAAGAUAAUGACAGUACCAUAGAAGAAAGCUCCGGCGAAAUACGUGCCAGCAGCCGCGGUAAUACGGAUGGAGCGAGCGCUGUCCGGAAUUAUUGGGCGUAAAGGGUACGCAGGCGGUUUAAUAAGUCGAAUGUUAAAGAUCGGGGCUCAACCCCGCAAAGCAUUGGAAACUGAUAAACUUGAGUAGUGGCUAGGAAAGUGGAAUUCCUAGUGUAGUGGUGAAAUACGUAGAUAUUAGGAGGAAUACCAGUAGCGAAGGCGACUUUCUUGACACAAACUGUCUCUGAGUUACGAAAGCGUGGGAAGCAAACAGG